UACGUAGGGGGCAAGCGUUGUCCGGAUUUAUUGGGCGUAAAGAGCGUGUAGGCGGCUAGGUAGGUCCGUUGUGAAAACUCGAGGCUCAACCUCGAGACGUCGAUGGAAACCAUCUAGCUAGAGUCCGGAAGAGGAGAGUGGAAUUCCUGGUGUAGCGGUGAAAUGCGUUGAGAUCGGAAGGAACGCCCGUGGCGAAAGCGAGGUCCUGGACGUUUUCUGACACUGAGACGCGAAAGCCAGGGGAGCGAACGGG
rnacentral:rRNA from 1 species